UACUGUCGUUUCUUCCUCCACCGCUGCUGCGCCCUGCUGUCGCACUCGCAGUUGCCGUCGCUUCAGUCGAACUCUGCGCUCCAUGAGCACGUGCUCCGGCCUCUUUAUGCACCCGCCACCGACGCCUUCCUGUGCAACAUAUGCAGGAAGGUCGGCAGGGGGUUCAACUAUCACUGCGACAGUUUCCGCUUCGACGCCCACUUUUUUUGCGCUCUCAUGCCUCGGAUGUUAAUCUGCCAAGCCCACCACCACUUCCUUGACCUCUUGUUUCCCACUUUUGUAGAACCAGAGAAAAAAGUAGAAUUUUUUUGGGCCAGCUAAAUUGUUUAAUCCCUUAUUUUGGUAGGGGCAAACUAAACUCUAAUUUUAACAUUGUACAACUAAAGCUUUUCAAUUUUUUUAAUGUAUUUUUUUUAAUUAGUUGGAGUAAGGUCAUGCCUCCCGUGAGAAGCACCAUUUGUGAUAUUUGCCACGGUCAGAUAGACAAUUGCCGCUACAUGUGCAGCCGCUGCAACUUCGACGCACACCCAGGGUGCUUAAUCAAGGCAGAGGAGAAAGCGCGAAUUGAUGGAAUGAGUCUCUCUUCUCUCCCCAACAGACGAAGAACAUCUCAUUUGAUGAAGGCUUGGAUAUCUACCCUCACCAAGUUCAACUCAAAGACGGAUUCUAUAGAGCAUUUUUCUUCAUGGGCUAGAGAUGGUGAAGGGCGUUUUUCUGUACAUCAUGCAUAUAGCUCGCUUCAACCUCUCGGGGUCAACUGGUUUCCUCAUAAUCUUCUUUGGGCUGGAGGUCCUACUAGACGAUCCAAAACUUUUGCAUGGCUCAUUCUAUUGGACCGCGUUCAGACUCAGAAUAACCUCAAAAGGUCUGGUUUUCACCUUGCGAGUAGAUGCCCUCUAUGUUGUUGUGCCGAGGAAACUACCACUCACCUGGUAUGGUUUUGUCGAGUGUCUCAAGAUCUUUAUGCACUUACCUGGUCUAUGCCUCCCAUCGAAGUCACAAGCAUAUCUACAAUUCGGGACCUGAUCCAUGAACCAACUAGAGUGAGACACAAAAAGAAAUGGCGCACCAUUUGGAGAAUUUGGCUGUUCACGUUUUGGUGGGUCAUUUGGAACUCCAGAAAUGAUAUUAUAUAUAGAAAUGAGGCGGUCUCAGUGGAACGCAUGGCAUCCUCCAUUUUGUAUGACGUUUGGUUAAUUUCCCGUAACCUAUGGGGUAAUAUGGUACAUUCAACCUCAUACAAGUAUUAAGAGUUGAGUUGUAGAUGUAAUCUUUUUCAAGUUCAACUUUUUGUUGGGCUUUUAUUAAUGUUAUUUUCCCUUUCCUCUCUCUCUCUCUCUCUCUCAGCAUCAGUUUGGCUAACCAGUGUUCCUUAUGUCUUGUUGCGACUGAGUCUAGGGUCCACCUUUUUACUUCUUGCCAUUUUUUCUUUAGUGUCCUUGCUUCUACUUGGCCUUCCCUUGUUAGUAAUCUUCCAAACCCACCAUCCAUUCGUCUUUUCUUCCUCUUUUGUCAUUCCCACCACCUGACUGCUUCUUGGGGUCAUGUCUGGAGGCCGUGGCUCAUUUCAGCGUGGUGGCGCAUUUGGGUGGAGCGCAACAACAGGGUCUUCAGGGGCACCUUCUCUUCACCAGAUUCCGUGGCUCGUCUUGUGCAAGGGGAUAUCUAGUUCGCCAUUCGGAUAAAGCGCCGCCGCCUGACUGCGGUAGGACGAUUUGCAAAAUUGAUCUGAAGGAAAGUUGUCAUGCACCUGCUCUUUGACGCCUUCGGUGGCUUGGGUGAAGUAAUGGACGCCUUACUCUUCGGAUCAGAGGACGUCUCGAACAUCACCGACCUCUUCAGCCUUCUCCGGGUAUCCUUCCGGGACCUGCAUGUCGUUGACGAUCGUAUACGCAAGGAGCUUGGAUUCUUGCUUCGAGCACAUAUGAAAGGGAUGAUCGGAGGGUGAUGCAUCUUCCUCCUUGCCCCGCCUUUCAAGUACCUCUAAUUACAUUGGCAACCUCCUCUCUGCGUUCCCAAUAAGUUGCCAUGCCUCUACUAUUCUUCACCACUACAAUUCUAUCACUAGUUCUGCUUCUUUGUCCUUAGAUAAUCUGUCCCAUUUUGUUGUAAUGUGAGUUUUAUGUAACACUAGGGUUGCCUGCGCCUGCAGCUCAUCAUAAUGCCAAGAGUGGU